AGAAAGUCGCUCGUUAAGAGACUAUGUCGUUUCGUUGGUCUAAAGUAUUCUAUCAAGCAUAAGAAGGCCAACCAUUCAAGCACAUAAUUUCGAGAUUAAGUCGGCCACUAUUACUAUGAUCCAAACAUCAAUUUAAUCUGAAAGUCUUCCAAAUGAUUAUCUGAACAUGCAUAUCUCAAACUUCCUAGAGAUAUGUGAUACAUUUAAGCACAAUGGAGUCAUGGAUGAUGCAAUUCGCCUGUCGUUGUUCCCUUUCUUGUUGUGGGACAAGGCGAAGGUGUUGUUGAGCUCGUUGCCCACUAGCUUAAUUACAACAUGGGAUGACCUUGCCCGGAAAUUCCUUGCCAAAUUCUUUCUUCUAGCAAAAACAGCAAAGAUGAGGAACGAUAUUACUUCGUUUACACAGUUUGAUGGUGAGUCAUUGUACGAAGCCUGGGAGAGAUACAAGGACUUACUUAGGCGCUAUCCUUAUCAUGGUCUUCCAAAAUGGCUCCAAGUGUAAAUGUUUUAUAAUGGAUCGAAUGGUCAGAUACGACCUACCAUUGAUGCUGUUGGAGGAGCCUUCAUGGCGAAGUCCAUUGAUGAUGCAUACAACUCCCAAUGGCCAUUGGAGCGAUCUACACAUAGAAAAGUAGCUGGAGUUCUCAAAAUGGAUGCCAUCACAGCAUUAACUGCACAAGUAGUUGCUAUAACAAAAAAUGUUGAUUCUUUUGGCACUAAUAUUGUUCAAAAUCCGUUUGUAGUGUGUGAAUAUUAUGGAGAUUGACACGCUAGUGAUCAAUGCCUAGUUGGCAACAUAGACACUAUUCAGUUUAUGGGGAACAAACAGCAAAACAACCCUUUCUCCAACCCCAAAAUUACCAGAUGGAGGAACCAUCCAAACUUAUCAUAAGGAAACAAUCAAGGAGCAUCAGUUUCAGGGUCGAAUAUUUCUCUUGGUUUUCAACAGUAAUCAAGAGCCUUUAUUCCAAAUAAGAAACCAUCAAUGGAGGAGUUGCUAAUGCUGUACAUGGCCAAGACAAACUCCCCCAUCAUAGUCAAGUAGCCUCAUUGAGAAACCUUGAGAUGCAAGUUGGACAAUUGGCAAGCUUACUCAACAACAAAGCUCAAAGGACUUUAUCUAGUGACAUAAAGGCAAAUCUGAAUAGGGAAGGUAAAAAGAAAGUUAAGGCAUUACAUUGAGAAAUGGUAAGGAGAUUAAAGGCAACACUCGAAUUGUUGAGUAUAAGAAAAAAAGUUUAUUAGAAAAAAAUACCAUUUUGAAAAUAAUACCAAACCUAUUUUUUUUCUCUCACUUCCUCACUCCUCUCUCUAAAGCACAGAAGAUAAAAAAUUUUUUACUUCAUUUUCAAAAAAAAAGAAAUGAAAAUAUUUAAAUAUUAUUUAACUAUAAUAAAUAUUAUAAAGAAUAUUAUUUAAUAUUAUUAUUUGAAUAUAUUAAAUGUAAUAAAAAACAUUAUUUAGUAUUAUUUAAAUUUAAUGAAGAACAAAUUUUGUCUUUUAAUAUUAAAUAUUAUUUAAUUAUAAUAAAAGGUUUAAUAUCUUUUAGUACAAAAUAUUAUUAAAUUAUAAUAAAAAUAUGUUUACAUUUUGAUGAAAAUAUUAUUUAAUUAUAGAAAAAGGUAUUUGGAUUUUAUUACUUAGAAUAUUUUUAUCUCUCUACAAAAUAAAUUCUUUAAUUUUAAUAAAAAGUUUUUUUUUCUCAUUAUAGUAUUUUUUAAUUAAAAAUCUUUAAAUUUUAAUAAAGGGUAUUUUUAUCAUUUACCAAUAAUUCCUUAACUAUUCUUAAAAUUAUUCCUGCCAACCAAAUAAUGUAAUUAGUAUUAUUUAAAUCUAAUGAAGAAUAUAUUUUGUCUUGUAAUAUUAAAUAUUAUUUAAUUAUAACAAAAGAUUUAAUUAUCUUCUAAUACAAAAUAUUAUUAAAUUAUAAUAAAAUAUGUUUACAUUUUGGUGAAAAUAUUAUUUAAUUAUAGUAGAAGGUAUUUUGAUUUUAUUACUUGGAAUAUUUUUGUCUUUUAACAAAAUAAAUUCUUUAAUUUUAAUAAAAAGUAUUUUUUGCUCAUCAUAGUAUUUUUUUAAUUAAAAAAUCUUUAAAUUUUAAUAAAAGUUAUUUUUAUCAUUUACCCAUUAUUCUUUAACUAUUCUUAAAAUUAUUCUUGCCAACUAAAUAAUAUAAUAAAUAAUAAUAGCAAUUUCUAUCAUAUUUCAUUCUCAUGAACCAAUUUACAUAAUAGUUAUUCUUCCCAUAUUCUAUUCCCUUAGAAUGGCUAUUUUAUUCCCAUUCUAUUCCUUCCGGUGAAACAAACAUGCUGUAAGAGAAAUAAGCAACAACUAUUCUUAAAGUAAUUUAAAACAAAAUAACAUAAAAUUAAACUAAAAUGACUUAAAUUAAACUAAUCAACAUGUAAUCAAACUUAACUACGAAAAACACCUUAAAAUACUAAAAUUUGAACCUAAAAUCUCAAAGACCUAGCUACUUAAGCCCCCAAAAUGUGUCAAAAUAACUCUAUAUAAUAGAGUUAUCACAAGCCUUGGGAUAAAGUGCCCUAGGCUAUUCUGUGUCUAUUAGCAAAGUGUCAGGAUUAGUGCAGAGUCUAGUUCAUGAUUUGUGACUACAACACAGGUCAUGAAUAAAAGGCUACACGAACUCCCAAGUUCUUACUAAGGUAGCCUUUCUGGACCAUGAAUUUUGGAUUUUGAAUAUGGUGUUUUCUUCAUCUAAGUAUAGCAUGCCACCUAAGACAAGAGUCACUUCAUCUAAGUAAGACGACCAUCUUACUGAAAGAGGAGUCACCUUAAAAGAUUUGGCAGCAGGGCUGUAAAGUUUGGCACACAAAUUUGUUGAGUUUCGAAGUAGGGGUAAGGUGCAACCUAAAGAAUGGGUCAAUUCUAGUUUACAAAAGAUAGAGUUUCUACAUCAAGUUGAGCAUGAGAAAAGGGUUGUUGAGGUUACUUUAGCAGACUUUAUGAAACUCAAAUCCUCGUUAUGGACUAGAUCAGAUGCAAAGGAAGAUCGAUAGAGAUUUUUGAAGGAUAUGGAGUGCAUAUGUACUGUGUUGGGAUGCUUCACUUAUUGAUUAGUAAAAUUGAUGGGGUUUAGAUUGAAAAAUGUGUCUCAGAUAUGGUUUAUAUCCCUCAAGAAAGGUAAGCCAUCUGGUUUAACUCCAAUGACAUGGGAAGAGUUUGUACAAGUUUUCUUAGAUUGCUUUUUGCUUGAAAUCAUGAGAGACGCUAAGGCACAAGAAUUUAAGACUUUGAUACAGACCCAAGACAUGUUGGCAACAGAGUAUGAUGUCCGAUUCACCCAAUUAUCUCAUUAUGUUCCUGAUUUAAUCCUGAUUGAGGAAAAACGGAUUAAGAGGUUUGUAAGAAUUUUAAUUGAGCCAUUAUUCCAAGUUAUUGCCACCCAGAGGUUUGCCUCCUACUUUGCAAUGGUGGAUGUAGCCAGACUGAUUAAGACUAGGAGAAUGGAUGCUAUGAUGGAAAGGAAAAAGGGUUAAAGGGUUUGAACACAAGGCCAAUAAGGCUGAACGAAUUCCAGUGUGACUUGAAGUCCAGUUACUGUAGGCCAUCAGGGUUGUGAAGGAAUCACUUUGGCGCCCAGGUCACCACAAAGUAGUAAUUCAUUUAGUCCAUCUACUAAGCGAGAGUAAUCUAGUGCAUCAUCUGGUUUGGGCCUCAACAGAGGGGUGUUCUGUGUAACCAUUGUGUGAAAGCACAUGGUGGGCUGUGCGAUCAAGCAGUUGGGUUAUGCUUUGGGUGUGGUCAGUUGGACAUUUGAUGAGAGAUUGCCCAAGGCCCAGAUAGUCGUCAGGAGUGAACCAUGGAUAUGUGAAAUCAGUUACGACUACCCACCUAAAAGGGCACCAUUUAUGAGGAAUGUUAAGGUUGAUAAAGGCAAGGGUGUAGCCAUAUCAUCUUAGGGUUGGCCAAUAUAAUCAGGUAAUGUAAGUGGAGGCCAAGUAAGGGUGUUUGCUUUGACACUGCAAGAUGCCUAAAAUUCAAAUGCAGUACUCACUAGUACACUUUCUGUUUGCGGUACUGAAGCAUUGGUUUUGUUUGAUCCUAGAUCCACACAUUCAUUUGUGUCACCACAUUUUAUACCGAAGUUAGAUGGAUUUUGUUGUGGAAUAGAGGAACCCUUGAUUGUGACUACUCCUUUAGAGGAAAUGUUUAUGACAUAAUAUGUAUACAAGUCCUAUGUAGUUCGUAUUAAAGACAAGGACACUUUAGUAGACUUAAUGUUAUUGUUGACUCUUGACUUUGAUGUAAUCUUGGGAAUGGAUUAGUUAGCAUCUUGUUAUGCUAAAAUGGAUUGCCACUAUAAGUCAGUGAAGUUUAAGUUUUCGGGAGAGCCUUCGUUUGUCAUUUAAGGGCAUAACAGUCCAAUGUCUACAAAAGUUAUGUCAAUUUUGGCCGUUAGGCGAAUGCCAAGGCAAAAAAGCCAAGGAUAUCUAGUGAUGACGAGAGAUGUUCCAAUGGACGAAAUGAGUUGAAUUCUGUGUUGGUAAUAGGUGCAUUUUUUUAUGUGUUUUUAGAGGAAUUACCUAAGUUACCUCCCAAAAGGGAGAUUGAAUUUUGUGUUGAUUUAGUAUCAGAUACAAGGACAAUUUCCAUACCUCCGUAUCAAAUGGCACUAGCUAAACUAUAAGAGCUCAAUGAGCAACUAAAGGAUCUGUUGAAUAAAGGCUUCGUUCGCUCGAGUGUUUUGUCAUAGGGAGCUUUGGUGCUGUUUGUGAAAACGAAAUAUAGGAGCCUUUGAUUGUGUAUUGACUACUAGUAACUCAAUCAAGUGACAACAAAGAAUAAAUAUCCACUCCCACAAACAAACUAUUUAUUCGAGCAGUGGUAGGGUGCAACGUACUUUUCAAAGAUUAACUAGUGCUAUGGGUAUCAUCAAUUGAAAAUUUGGAAGACCAAUAUACCCAAGACCGUAUUCCACACACAUUAUGGGCAUUAAGAAUUUAUAGUAAUGUCGUUCAGACUCACUAACGCCUUUACAACCUUUAUGGACUUGAUGAACAGAGUUUUCUAGGUGUAUUUAUACAGAUUUAUAGUCGUAAUUCAUAAAUGACAUAUUAGUGUAUUGAAGGAGCUCGGAAGAGCAUGCACAACACUUGAGAAUUGUGCUUCAAAUGCUCAGAAAACUGUCAGUUAAAUUUCACUACGUAAGUAUACGUAUCGAAUAGAUAGUAUAUAAGCAAGCAAAGUAUCGAUCUCACAGGGAAUUGACCUAAAAUUUUACUAAGUAAUAAAAUUAGAACAAUUUAAUCUUAUCCAAACAAUCAAUAUCAAAUAACUAAAUUAAUUAGCUAAAAAUACCUAACCAAAAUUUAACUAAGAAAAAUAAAAAAUAAUAAAAACUUGGAUAAAUAUCAAAUCAAAUUAGCCUAGGAUUACAAUAUCUCUCACACUUCAUCUAAAUCUUACCUCUCUUCCUUAACUUAUUUCAAUGGGUUGAAUUGCUAACCUAGAGUUCUAAAUUAUUUAUAAGGGUCUCCCGACUCAUUUUAUAAAAAUAUCUAUUUUAACCAAAACACUAUAUCCCUAUGUAAAUUAAAAUUAAUACAGACUCAUUAAGUUCAGACUCUAAUCUGGCUACAUAUGGCCUAUAGGUAUAUCCCUAUCCUAUACGCAAAUCAAUUAAUAUGAUUGUCAAGACCCGGAACUCCCAUGGAGCCCGUGACAACCGUCGUAAAGUCUCGUCAGACAUUCUUUAUCCCGAAUGUUGACCGGAACCUCGCAAGGCUUUCGUAUCAGUUUUCUUACCUCUCCUGUGAUCGACAGUAACUAAAAUCAUGUUUUGAAACCAUAUGGACCAUUUUCCCAUCCAAAAACAAUGAAAAUUUAUUUUUGUCUCAUAGGGGUAUUUUAGUCAUUUUUCUUUAAAAAUACCGAAACCCUCCAAAAACAUGGUGUAAAAGCUAAAUAUGUUCAUACAUGCUUUAAAUCAGAUAACUGAAGUAUAAAAUUACUUUUAUAGUGACACGUGUGCCCCCAACUAACCAAGAAGGUGUAAGGCUACGAACCCUUACUUUCUAGGAUGCAACUCCGAGAUUAAUUCUCGUAUUAAUCAACUAUCAACAAAUUGUCCUAAGCCUAAAAAAUGGAUAGGAAGAGGGGUGAAUUACAUAAUCCUAGUGAGUAAACAGACACCAUCUAAACUAUCUAAAGGCGAGUAAAUGGAGAUGAAUUAAAAUAUUCUUUUCAAUAUAUGUUUCAUAACAUGAAUAUUCAGUUUACUCAAUUAAUCAAUAUGGCUUAUAUAUCUCACAAAACUUGGCUCCUGCCAAAAUCAUUCUCGUGGGUAUCUUCGUCAAGGUAUCCCACUGAGACCUCCAUGGCUGUUAAAUGUCUUUACAUCCUAAAUUCUAACCAUGCCUUGGCGUUGGCUGAGUCUCACUCUCACGCGGUGGUCCACGUGAAGUGCACUCAAAUCUUUACCUCCAGAGAUACCCUCCACACGGCUCUCCGAUAAAGGUAACGUAUAUCUGAUUCUGUGCCCCCUCUCUUAGGCUGGUCCACAGAACUUCCACUACAGGGAUUAUGGAUUAUUUUAUCUACCACCUGAUUUAUAAAACCUUUUUCUGCAUGACAUGGUAAUUUAUCGCAAUCUAGCCUCUCAAGGCUGAAUACACAGUAUAAAUAAUUUUGAUAUAAACACCGACUUUGCCAUUCAUGAUCACAUAUUGCUAUAAGCCAUAUAAUUUAAAACACAAUUUAUAACACAAGCAGGCAAUCUCCAAUUACUCUAUUUUCAAAACUAGUAUUCAAUUUUCCAGAAAAUUUAUAAAAUCAUUUUAUAAAAUCACAAUUUCUCCUACAACAUAGUAAUUUACCAUUUAAACCCAUUUUCUAUAAAAUCACACAAUUGUAUAAAACUACUCUAGAUAAUUAAGACGAUAAUAAGUUUACUCACAGUAUUAGGAGUAGAAAUACUAGUAUUUUCAGUCCGCGGGUACAGUCAUUUACCCGUAUCCAAUGG
rnacentral:lncRNA from 1 species